GACGAACGCUGGCGGCGUGCCUAAUACAUGCAAGUAGAACGCUGAAGGAGGAGCUUGCUUCUCUGGAUGAGUUGCGAACGGGUGAGUAACGCGUAGGUAACCUGCCUGGUAGCGGGGGAUAACUAUUGGAAACGAUAGCUAAUACCGCAUAAUAGUAGAUGUUGCAUGACAUUUGCUUAAAAGGUGCAAUUGCAUCACUACCAGAUGGACCUGCGUUGUAUUAGCUAGUUGGUGGGGUAACGGCUCACCAAGGCGACGAUACAUAGCCGACCUGAGAGGGUGAUCGGCCACACUGGGACUGAGACACGGCCCAGACUCCUACGGGAGGCAGCAGUAGGGAAUCUUCGGCGAUGGACGGAAGGCUGACCGAGCAACGCCGCGUGAGUGAAGAAGGUUGUCGGAUCGUAAAGCUCUGUUGUAAGAGAAGAACGAGUGUGAGAGUGGAAAGUUCACACUGUGACGGUAUCUUACCAGAAAGGGACGGCUAACUACGUG
rnacentral:rRNA from 1 species